CAUCAAUAGUAUAUGAACAGCUAAUUAAUCAUUAACCAAGGCUUUAAUAAAUGGUUACUCACUUGUUUGCCAAUGUGGAACAAAGAACCAGUUGCGUGUGGGAUGAUCAGAUGAAAUUCUACAAAGGUAACUUCAGAUGAAGACGAUGCUGAUGAUGUGCAGGCUACUUUUCAGUAGGGAAGUUGAUCAUUCUAUGUGUCCCCUGAAUAAUGAGGGUGAUUUGGGGAAGACUCCCAUAUUCUCAAGUCAGAUCAUGCCAUCAACAAAGUGUCUAGACCAGAGAAUCUUAAAAGCAGUUAUUUUGCCUCUGAUUUUCCAAAAAGCUAAAAACACAACAAGGGGGCCUGCCAGAAGGGGUCGCUGCGGUGCACAGAUUUCAAAGCUAGAUACGUGAAGGGGAAGAGGAAGAUGCUUUGGAAACAGAACUAAAGGAGAGAGAUAUUUGCCGAAAGCAGCACCAGAAAUCAGUGGAGUCGAGGAACUGCAAGGCCCAUAACCGUUAAGAGCCUUAACUACCGAAGCUGAUCACCACCAUAAGGGAUAGGGGAGAUAUUUUGUGCAGUUCACAUAUUAAUGCAGACUUAUUUAAUUCACACUCCCCUCACAAAAAAGUGAAUUAAAAUGUUAUCCUUUGAAA